rnacentral:piRNA from 1 species
AGGUUGAGGACUACUGGGUUAAGGUU